rnacentral:rRNA from 1 species
AUUGAACGCUGGCGGCAUGCCUUACACAUGCAAGUCGAACGGCAGCACGGGUGCUUGCACCUGGUGGCGAGUGGCGAACGGGUGGGUAAUACAUCGGAACAUGUCCUGUAGUGGGGGAUAGCCCGGCGAAAGCCGGAUUAAUACCGCAUACGAUCUACGGAUGAAAGCGGGGGACCUUCGGGCCUCGCGCUAUAGGGUUGGCCGAUGGCUGAUUAGCUAGUUGGUGGGGUAAAGGCCUACCAAGGCGACGAUCAGUAGCUGGUCUGAGAGGACGACCAGCCACACUGGGACUGAGACACGGCCCAGACUCCUACGGGAGGCAGCAGUGGGGAAUUUUGGACAAUGGGCGAAAGCCUGAUCCAGCAAUGCCGCGGGUGUGAAGAAGGCCUUCGGGUUGUAAAGCACUUUUGUCCGGAAAGAAAUCCUUGGCCCUAAUACGGUCGGGGGAUGACGGUACCGGAAGAAUAAGCACCGGCUAACUACGUG